GCUGGUUAAGGAUGACACUCAAUGGUGGACAUGUAUGGAUGACACUUGCGGAUAUGGGACUGAGACCAGCU
rnacentral:snoRNA from 13 species